AGCGAACGCUGGCGGCAGGCCUAACACAUGCAAGUCGAACGAUCCUUCGGGAUAGUGGCGGACGGGUGAGUAACACGUGGGAACGUGCCCUUUGGUUCGGAACAACUCAGGGAAACUUGAGCUAAUACCGGAUGUGCCCUUCGGGGGAAAGAUUUAUCGCCAUUGGAGCGGCCCGCGUUGGAUUAGGUAGUUGGUGGGGUAAUGGCCCACCAAGCCUACGAUCCAUAGCUGGUCUGAGAGGAUGAUCAGCCACACUGGGACUGAGACACGGCCCAGACUCCUACGGGAGGCAACAGUGGGGAAUCUUGCGCAAUGGGCGAAAGCCUGACGCAGCCAUGCCGCGUGAAUGAUGAAGGUCUUAGGAUUGUAAAAUUCUUUCACCGGGGACGAUAAUGACGGUACCCGGAGAAGAAGCCCCGGCUAACUUCGUGCCAGCAGCCGCCGUAAAAC
rnacentral:rRNA from 1 species